GGUGUCCACACAGAUUGUCUGAUGAUAAGAAAGAGUCAAAAGCGUCUUGCGAAGCUGACAAGUGAUGUCCCCUUCGUCUAGAGGCCCAGGACACCGCCCUUUCACGGCGGUAACAGGGGUUCGAAUCCCCUAGGGGACGCCAAUGACGGACAGUGGGUGAAAGACACGGUCAGGGUAUUCCCGAGAAUAACCUAAAGCUGAUUAGAGAUAGUCAGGUUUACGUUAUUCUGCUCUUUAACAAUCCGGAACAAGCUGAAAAAUUGAAACGACGGCAUGUGAGUGAGAAUUCAUGUGUUGGUCGAGUCUCUCAAAUUACUCAUAUCCCGAGACACUUUCGGGUUGUGAGGUUAAGCGACUAAGCGUACACGGUGGAUGCCUAGGCAGUCAGAGGCGAUGAAGGGCGUGCUAAUCUGCGAAAAGCGUCGGCA
rnacentral:misc_RNA from 9 species